UACGGGGGGGGCAAGCGUUGUUCGGAAUUACUGGGCGUAAAGGGUUUGUAGGUGGCCAACUAAGUCGGACGUGAAAUCCCUCAGCUUAACUGGGGAACUGCGUCCGAUACUGGAUGGCUUGAGUUUGGGAGAGGGAUGCGGAAUUCCAGGUGUAGCGGUGAAAUGCGUAGAUAUCUGGAGGAACACCGGUGGCGAAGGCGGCAUCCUGGACCAACACUGACACUGAGGAGCGAAAGCCAGGGGAGCAAACGGG
rnacentral:rRNA from 1 species